rnacentral:rRNA from 1 species
AGAGUUUGAUCAUGGCUCAGGACGAACGCUGACGGUGUGCUUUAGACAUGCAAGUCGAACGAGAAAACCCUUUGGGGUAAGUACAGUGGCGAACGGGUGAGUAACACGUGGGUAACCUGCCCCUCGCAGGGGGACAACCGGGGGAAACCCCGGCUAAUACCCCGUACGCUUGCCGGGUCGCAUGGCCCGGUAAGGAAAGGUAGCUUCGGCCAUCCGGCGAGGGAUGGGCCCGCGGUGCAUUAGCUAGUUGGUGGGGUAACGGCUCACCAAGGCGACGAUGCAUAGCUGGUCUGAGAGGAUGAUCAGCCACACUGGGACUGAGACACGGCCCAGACUCCUACGGGGGGCAGCAGCAAGGAAUUUUCCCCAAUGGGCGAAAGCCUGAGGGAGCAACGCCGCGUGGAGGAUGACGGCUUUCGGGUUGUAAACUCCUUUUUAUGGGGACGAUAAUGACGGUACCCAUGGAAUAAGCCCCGGCUAACUACGUGCCAGCAGCCGCGGUAAUACGUAGGGGGCAAGCGUUGUCCGGACUUACUGGGCGUAAAGCGCGUGCAGGCGGAUUGGUAUGUGCCGUGUGAAAGCUCCCGGCUUGCCCGGGAGAGGUCGCGGUAGACAGCCGAUCUGGAGGCUCGGAGAGGUCAGUGGAAUUCCCGGUGUAGUGGUGAAAUGCGUAGAUAUCGGGAGGAACACCAGUGGCGCAAGCGGCUGACUGGCCGAGACCUGACGCUGAGACGCGACGGCGUGGGGAGCAAACCGGAUUAGAUACCCUCGUAGUCC